rnacentral:lncRNA from 10 species
CUUGGGGUGUUCCCCACCCCACCUCGUUUACUCCCCUCCCUUGGGAGCUCGGGACGCCGUGUUCUCCAUUCCUUUGCCCCAGUACUUUUAGAGAGGUAAAGCCCAACGCCUGCCUCCGGUGCCGCGCACCGGGAGCUGGAAGACAGCGGGUGACGAAGCUCUCGCUUCCGCUUUUCCUCUGGGACUCCAACUCAGCCCAUCCCCGACCCUCCCUUCUCUCGCCCGGGAUAUCCUCCUGCCUUCGGUCCAGGAGUGAAUCCUUUUCUACAACCGCUUUCCCAUCCCAACUUCCAUCUUUCCAGCCACCGCCCCCCGCCCCCCAUCUUCUCUUGAAGCUCCUGAUGGGUGGAGCUUUGACACAAGCCCCCAGGUUUCCCAGCCCCAGAGCUUUUCCCUCUGUCCCAUCACCAGGUGACAACACUUUCUGCUUCAAGAGAUGAGGCUGCCCCUCCUCGACACCCUUAAUCACAGGUGCACACACCUGCGCCUCUUCGGGGGCAUUGCCACUAACGGAGUUCAUGGUUUCCUGGACUGAAAUAGUGUGGGACCACUGUCGCUCUGAACACCUAAUAAGCGGAGACAAGCUGGGUUGCUGGGUGUCUGUGCAUCGGCUCGCUGAAAUUUUUUAAGUGUAUUUUCUUUGCAGAGAGAUCUCCACCCCUCACCUCCCUCUCCUGGGGGAACAUGCCACGCUUUUUCUAGGAGCAAGUCCUUGAGAAACCUACAAUGAAAAGUGGGAGCUACCUACACAGGGCGAACUCUGACGUCAUCCAGGCAUUCCCAAUGGAUCCGAAGACUCGAUGGAAGAUAGUUUUCUGUCUCCCCUGCCAACACCCACAGAAUUCCUCUAACUGGUCUCCUGGCCUCACUCUGCCUCAUUUCCCUUCAUCCUAGAAAACAAUAGCAGAUCAAUGUUUCUGAGGCAAUGUUUUUUUAGCUCUACCAAUGUCCCCCCGACUCAAAAAACCAUUAUCUCACUACCUAACUAAUAAACUCCAACCUCUUUACCUUGGUACUCAAGAUUCCCCCUACCUUUGGUGUAUCUCGCAGUCCUGCCAAACCAAACAGUGCAUGCUGUCCAAACAUACACACUGCGUCCUUCUCUUCUGUCUCCGUAGUAUCAGAUGAUAGCAUUUGAGCAAAGCUGUCAUUUGCUAGCCAAGUGGCUUUUGGAAAGGUCAUUUUACCUCCCUCAGCCUCAGUUUCUGCAUGUAUAAAUUAUGGAUAAGACUCACCUCAAAUUGUUUUUAUAAAGAAUUAAAUUGAAUUAGCUAGAAUAUGCAAAAAUCCCUGGCUCCCUGCCCGACAUGGGGUGCCUACCAAUAAUUAUUCAAAUCUAAAUAUUGGCCUAUGCCAUGCUCUGCUUCCUUUUCCUAUUAAAACUUUAUUCUUGAAAAAU